CGGAACGUGCCCGAUCGUGGGGGAUAGCUCGGCGAAAGCCGGAUUAAUACCGCAUACGAUCUACGGAUGAAAGCAGGGGACCGCAAGGCCUUGCGCGAACGGAGCGGCCGAUGGCAGAUUAGGUAGUUGGUGGGGUAAAGGCUCACCAAGCCGACGAUCUGUAGCUGGUCUGAGAGGACGACCAGCCACACUGGGACUGAGACACGGCCCAGACUCCUACGGGAGGCAGCAGUGGGGAAUUUUGGACAAUGGGCGCAAGCCUGAUCCAGCAAUGCCGCGUGCAGGAUGAAGGCCUUCGGGUUGUAAACUGCUUUUGUACGGAACGAAAAGGCUCUGGUUAAUACCUGGGGCUCAUGACGGUACCGUAAGAAUAAGCACCGGCUAACUACGUGCCAGCAGCCGCGGUAAUACGUAGGGUGCGAGCAUUAAUCGGAAUUACUGGGCGUAAAGCGUGCGCAGGCGGUGAUGUAAGACAGUUGUGAAAUCCCCGGGCUCAACCUGGGAACUGCAUCUGUGACUGCAUCGCUGGAGUGCGGCAGAGGGGGAUGGAAUUCCGCGU
rnacentral:rRNA from 1 species